CGUAUCAAAUUUGGCAAAUUUGCGAGUGAAGUGCCGUCAUGUCGGAAUACGUGUGUGACAGUGUGCCGAGUGCUAGGUGAAAAUUGGAUCAAGUUUGUGAUAAUCGUCGUGGAAGAAUCGCCGUUUGUAAAGAACUCUUACCGAUUAUGAAGAGGAUGUUGAAGCAGUUAUCGAAGGCCGUUCCAACAACCAAUCUACACAAGCAAAAGGACCAAAAACUAUUUGCGAAAACUGUUGCAAUUGAUGCAAAGAAGCCCACUGCGUUGCACGCUACUAAGGCGGGGAUCCGUCCGUAAUGAUCAGCAACGUAUCCAAACACAAGGCCCCCUAUCA